rnacentral:lncRNA from 1 species
AACAGUGCCCUCAGGGAGACAAAGAAGGUUUGCUACAGUGCUGGGUUUCUUCUAGAUGGGUGGAUGACCUGUAGUGACUCUGAGGAGAUUCAGUCAAAGGAAGAACUGUGGAAUGCAUUUGGAGAAUAGAGGGUCCCUGUUUCAUCCAUGAGACUGGAAGACUGACAGAGACAGAGUGCAGACAUUUGACAGCAGAGGGCAGUCGCUGGCCCACCUCAGUGGGACAUGGAACUCUGAAGACACUGCUCCUCCUGAUGCUUGACCGCUAAACUGAAGGCAGCCAUGAAAAUGGAUCCAGCAG